rnacentral:rRNA from 1 species
GGUUGACCUCGGAUCAGGUAGGGAUACCCGCUGAACUUAAGCAUAUCAAUAAGCGGAGGAAAAGAAACCAACAGGGAUUGCCCCAGUAACGGCGAGUGAAGCGGCAAGAGCUCAAAUUUGAAAGCUGGCUCCUUCGGGGUCCGCAUUGUAAUUU